UGCCCGCAGGUCCCUGUCCCACACUGUCCCCGUGACUGUGGUUGGAAACUCAAAUGGGUCACACUCUGAUUCCAUACUCUUUCCCCUAUGUCUGCUUACCUCCGCCUUAUCGGGGAGCAUUCUUCACCUUGGAUUCUAGAAUGCUGAGGAAUAAUUACAAAGAUCUUGUCACCCUCCUGUUGAGCACAAGUCACUUUCCUCUGGUUCCACGAGCGCUGUCUUCUCACCAGGUCAUCCUGAAACAAAAAUGGAAACACUUGGAAAUUCCAUGUUUCAGACAGUAAUAGUGGAUGUUUUCCUAAGGACUGAAAAGUAUCCUACAAGCUACAAGUAGCACAUGGCUACUUCUAUGGCUUUUCCACAUCUUAUGACGAGGGCCAGAGGGGAGAAAAGACGAUGGUCAGAGGAAGUUAAAGGGCACUGCAGCAAACUAUAUCUACUUCACAAUCGUGUCCUGACACUAAUAAGCUGUAAAUGGCAUUCACCUACAGACAAAUAAACUGGCGACUCUAGUCA